AUGGGUAGCGAUGGCGGUUACGGCCGUACGGCGACGCAAGUUUGGAACGCGCCGGCGAUCCCGCAGCCGGUAUUGAGACAAAUAAGCCAACCUUGGUACAUAACCGCGGAAAACUAAAAAACCGUACCCUAAACUAACACAGGUGGAUAGGUCGAGUAGACUAAGGUGUAUGAGAUAAUUAUGUUGAAGGAACUCGGCAAAAUGACUCUGUAACUUCGGGAGAAAGAGUACCUUUUUUAUUUAAAUGUUUAUCGACGAAAUAAUAAGAAGGUGGCACAGAAUUGGGGGUUGCGACUGUUUAAUAAAAACACAGGACUCUGCUAAAUCGUAAGAUGACGUAUAGGGUCUGACACCUGCCCGGUGCUGGAAGAUUAAUAGGAGAUGUUUGCGCAUUGAAUAAAAGUCCCAGUAAACGGCGGCCGUAACUCUGACGGUCCUAAGGUAGCGAAAUUCCUUGUCGGGUAAGUUCCGACCUGCAUGAAUGGUGUAACGACAUCCCCGCUGUCUCCAACAUAAACUCAGUGAAUUU
rnacentral:ncRNA from 1 species